rnacentral:rRNA from 1 species
CCCUGCCAUUUGUACACACCGCCCGUCGCACCUACCGAUCGAAGGUAAUGAUGAGCCCUUAGGAUUGUGGCCAGGGACGCGCUCGCGCGACCUUGGCCGCGAGAAUUUGUGCAAAUCCCUACCUUUAG